rnacentral:rRNA from 1 species
AGAGCGAACGCUGGCGGCAGGCUUAACACAUGCAAGUCGAGCGGGCGUAGCAAUACGUCAGCGGCAGACGGGUGAGUAACGCGUGGGAACAUACCUUUUGGUUCGGAACAACACAGGGAAACUUGUGCUAAUACCGGAUAAGCCCUUACGGGGAAAGAUUUAUCGCCGAAAGAUUGGCCCGCGUCUGAUUAGCUAGUUGGUGAGGUAACGGCUCACCAAGGCGACGAUCAGUAGCUGGUCUGAGAGGAUGAUCAGCCACAUUGGGACUGAGACACGGCCCAAACUCCUACGGGAGGCAGCAGUGGGAAUAUUGGACAAUGGGCGCAAGCCUGAUCCAGCCAUGCCGCGUGAGUGAUGAAGGCCCUAGGUUGUAAAGCUCUUUGUGCGGGAAGAUAAUGACGGUACCGCAAGAAUAAGCCCCGGCUAACUUCGCGCCAGCAGCCGC